AACAAAGUAAGCUAAAGAAGCUAUUGGGCCCAUACCCCAACAAUGUUGGCUAACAUCCGACCUUUGUUA
rnacentral:tRNA from 1 species